rnacentral:rRNA from 1 species
GUACACGCUGUGACUAGCAUAUCAAUAAGCGGAGGAAAAGAAACUAACAAGGAUUCCCCUAGUAACGGCGAGUGAAGCGGGAGAGCUCAAAUUUGAAAUCUUAAAGGGUUUCCCUUUACGAAUUGUAGUUUAAAGAAGUGUUUUCUGUUGAGGUUUUGGUAAAAGUUCUUUGGAAUAGGACAUCAUAGAGGGUGAGAAUCCCGUAUUUGACCUUUACUUUCAACUUUGUGAUACACUUUCGAAGAGUCGGAUUGUUUGGGAAUGCAGUCCAAAAUGGGUGGUAAAUUUCAUCUAAAGCUAAAUAUUGGCGAGAGACCGAUAGCGAACAAGUACCGUGAGGGAAAGAUGAAAAGAACUUUGAAAAGAGAGUUAAACAGUACGUGAAAUUGUCAAAAGGGAAGCGUUUGACACCAGUGUUGUUUUUCUGAAAAUCAAUUAAAGAACUGUUUAUGCUAAGCUGUUUAGACUUUAUCAGCUAUCUGUUUAGUUUUGAGCUUUUCUUUAAUGCACUUUUCAGUUAACAAGUCAACAUCAAUUUCUUUUGCUGUAAAAAAGCUUGAGGAAGGUGGCUUGAGAUUCGUCUUAAGUGUUUAUAGCCUCUUGCCUAUGCAGUCGGAGAGAUUGAGGUCUGCAGCGUAGAUCCUUCGGGGCUAAAUGCAUUUGUGCUAAGUUAUAGCAUUUUAUAGACAACUUGUUGACUAUGAUUUGUCUUGUAGCUUACUCGCUUAUGUUAUUUUACCUACGCUUAGGAUGUUGAGUCGUAGAGCACGCAG